rnacentral:rRNA from 1 species
AUUGAACGCUGGCGGCAUGCCUUACACAUGCAAGUCGAACGGCAGCACGGGAGCAAUCCUGGUGGCGAGUGGCGAACGGGUGAGUAAUAUAUCGGAACGUGCCCGGUCGUGGGGGAUAACGUAGCGAAAGCUACGCUAAUACCGCAUACGAUCUACGGAUGAAAGCGGGGGAUCGCAAGACCUCGCGCGAUUGGAGCGGCCGAUAUCAGAUUAGGUAGUUGGUGAGGUAAAGGCUCACCAAGCCGACGAUCUGUAGCUGGUCUGAGAGGACGACCAGCCACACUGGGACUGAGACACGGCCCAGACUCCUACGGGAGGCAGCAGUGGGGAAUUUUGGACAAUGGGCGCAAGCCUGAUCCAGCAAUGCCGCGUGCAGGAUGAAGGCCUUCGGUUGGUUAACG